CAUGUCUUUUUGAUUAUAAUUUAAAGUCUGACCUGCCCUAUGAAUUUAAUUUAAAUGGCUGCGGUACUUUGACCGUGCAAAGGUAGCAUAAUAAUUAGUUUUUUAAUUGGGAACUGGUAUGAAAGGUCGAACGAGAAAAAGACUGUCUCAAUUUAAUUUAGAUUAGAAAUUUAUUUUUAAGUUAAAAAGCUUAAAUAAUUUUAAAAGACGAGAAGACCCUAUAGAGUUUUAUAUAAUUUAUUAUUUUUGAAAAUUAAAGAAUUGUAGGUUUAAUUAUUUUAAAUUAUAUUUGGUUGGGGCAAUUAAAAAAUUAAAUUAAUUUUUUUUUAAAUUAUAACAUUGAUAUAUGAUUAAGUGAUCCAUAUUUUAUGAUUAAAAGAUUAAAUUACCUUAGGGAUAACAGCGUAAUUUUUUUUAGAGUUCUUAUCGAAAAAAGAGUUUGCGACC
rnacentral:rRNA from 1 species